GACAGUUUGGCCUAAGUAUGAGUGUGGGCAUUUGACAAGAAAGGAGGCUGUGAAGGGAAGACUAAGUCUGUACCUACUUUGACCUCUGCCUUCUCCACACACCCCAUGUUGAUGACAUCUAUUGAGAAACUACCAUGGGCCAGACACAGUGACUUAUGGUGCAAAGAGGAUCCACAAUUUGCCCCGGAUGUCACAGUGGGAAACAGCUUCCUGCCUCAGGACUCAGAGGGAUAUCAGUGAACAAAGCCCACAAAGAGAGCCAGACAUGGGGUUCUCUCCCUAAAGCCUGGUGGUAUGGAAUGCUGGAAAAUGCCCCACCCCACCCCCUCAGCUACUCUCAAAUUUCCUGCCUGUGUUAAAGUAAGUUCUCUUGAAUCAAUUAAGUGUGGUACAGUGAAGGCAUCUCUUCCUCAAUCCUCUUUUCUUUCAUUUUUCUUUUUCUUUUUUGUCUUUUUGAGACACGGUUUCACAAUGCAGUUUAGGCUGGCCUAGAACUCACUUUGUAGCCCAGGUUGGC
rnacentral:lncRNA from 1 species